CACAGAGAGACGUUGCAAUGUAGCCUGGGAUGUGUAGUCCAUAAAAAGACGAGAUAUUAUAUGCCACACCUACUUAAGGGAGGAAGUGCUAAUAGCUAGUAGGUCUUUGAGUAAGGCGUGAGCCAAAACGCGUCAGUCCACCAUACUAUUCCUCCUGCAAAAGAUCAGUGUAAUGGACCAGCUGCUUUGGAAAACACAUGAAGAGAUUUAUCUGCCUGGAGAGUUCUAUGGAUCCUUAGCGAAUCAAUUCUCCUGUAUUAUUCAUAAUUUAUGUCAGUCUUCCUGAUGUUCCCUAUUUGUUUGCCUGCAGUGGUGCUUUGUAAAUAAAUUCCUCUGCCAUUUCCCUCUC